rnacentral:rRNA from 1 species
AUGCCGUCUCUUGUCGAUGCAUCAAUUCAUCUGCCCGUGAUCGAGGACGUGAAGCCCUGGUACCAAUUCGCUGAAUUCCUCACCCCAACUAUGCUCGAACUGAAUAUUAUUAGUGCGCUGUCUAAUGUGACAAGCUUGCAGUUGUCCCAGUUUGUGGUCAUGUUGCGUUUGUAUCCGGAUUGUGAGGAUCUUCCUGUAUACAACUUCAAGAACCUAAGAACCUUGUUCCUGGACGAGUGUCAUAUCAGCGAUGACUUCCUCGGGCUGCAGCAAUACCUUCGGAACUUGCAUAACCUGCAGAAGCUCACUUUGUGCUGCUGCAAGGUCUCGAAUUUUGGACCUAGAGUGGAGUUGAUCCAACGCUGCCACUCAUAUUUUGAGGACCUAGCGGAUUUCAAGUGCGAGAACCUUAGGCUUAGUGAAAUCGUAUACCAAGAUGGUGAAGAUGAUGUCCACCUAUUGGUCAAGUUUUUGGAGGGCAUGAGGAAGAAUCUGUCAAACAACAAGAUAUAA